CAUAGCCACCAGUAUUGGUACUUUAGGUCUCGGUACAUCUUGGUACUCCGGAGGUGGAUGGAUAGUUUAGAGGCAUGGGCAGCCUUGAGAACGUUCAUCCUGACAGCAACAUGGACCUAAAUAUGGUCCCAAAAUCUGCACAACCCAUCAUCUAAAAGCCUAAAAUUAGGAAACUCGUCAAAAGUGAACUUAUUAAAAAUUUUGGUGAUUUCUUGUUCCGUGGAUGGAGCUUCCCAAAUCUUCAUAAAAAGAUCAGGCAAAGCUCAGAUCUAAGCGAGAUAGGCACCAUUGUCAUAGUGGAUGAGGUGAAGUGCCUACAUAGCAUCAACUAAUUUUCAACUUGUGGCAAGGUUUGGGCCAACACAACAGAUUUCUUCUGACUCAGCGCAUCUGCAACCACAAUACCUUUACUGGAAUGGUAGAUGAUCUUGUAGUCAUAGUCCUUUAGGAGGUCAAUCCAAUGUCUUUGUCUCAUGUUCAACUCCCUCUGCAAGAAACUU
rnacentral:lncRNA from 1 species